rnacentral:rRNA from 1 species
UACGAAGGGGGCUAGCGUUGUUCGGAAUUACUGGGCGUAAAGCGCGCGCAGGCGGCUAUCCAAGUCAGUGGUGAAAGCCCGGAGCUCAACUCCGGAACUGCCAUUGAAACUGUUUAGCUUGAGGACGAGAGAGGUGAGUGGAAUUCCCAGUGUAGAGGUGAAAUUCGUAGAUAUUGGGAAGAACACCGGUGGCGAAGGCGGCUCACUGGCUCGUAUCUGACGCUCAGGCGCGGCAGCGUGGGGAGCAAACAGG